rnacentral:piRNA from 1 species
UUGUUCAUUAGAAUCUGUAGCGCCUUUUC